rnacentral:lncRNA from 1 species
CUGUCUUUCGAUUAAUUAUCUAAAUCAGGAGUCUAUUAUUCAGUGGUGGUCGUUUGUUUAUGUGUUACAUAUUUGUUUUUCGUUCAUUUCUUUACAUAAGUAAGGCCGUUAGUUUUCUCGUUUUACAAUGUCUUAUCGGGGCCCUUUAUAGCUGACUAUGCGGUAUGGGAUUUGCUCAUAGUUGAAGGCCGUACGGUGACAUAUAGUUGUUAAUGGUUGUGUCAUUUUGGUCUUUUGUGGAUAGUUGUCUCAUUAGCAAUCAUACCACAUCUUCUUUUUUUAUAAUAUCUGUUCUCUGUCCGUCUCUAGUAUCAAAUAUCAGACUAUUUAUCAUGUUGUCAGUAGUAAAAAAGUUGAACUCUUGUUUAACAGUUCAUUAAGACAUUUUGAGAAGUUUUCUUCCAAGUCGACAUUUUGCUGUUCAAUAAUAGUAAUCCCAUGAUGUCCAAAUGCUUAUAUGGUCCGGAACACUCACAUUAGAUUGUUGACACACAUACAAAACUGUACAUGCAAUUUUUAAGAUGUGAGAAAAUUAAUAUAUACAAAUGACCACUACUUGUUAAAAUGAUAUAAUGUAAGUGUUGAUACACCAUGUGCCUUGAAAGAACUUACUGAUUGUAUUUUAUAGUUUUUAAACGUAAACGCAUAACAUUUUUAGCUAUAAAUAAAGGCAACAGUAGUAUACCGCUCUUCAAAACUCAUAAAUCCAUGGCCUAAAAAUUAUAUCGGGGUAACAAACUAAAACCGAGGGAAACCUUUUAAUAUAAGAGGAGAACAAUGACACAACACUGAAAUGUAACACACACAGAAACGGACCACGCAUCAGACAAAAUCCCACGAGAAUAACAAAUAUAACAUCAAAACCAAAUACAUGAAUUUGGGAUAGACAAGUACCGUGAAACGUCUUAUCGCAAUGUAAAUUUACACUCAAAAAUAAGAGAAAACAAAACGACGCAACGUUUAAAUGUAACACACACAGAAACGAACAAUAAUAUAACAAUGGCCAUAUUCCUGAAUUGGUUCAGGACAUUUUUAAAGAAAAAAUGGUGGAUUGAACCUGGUUUUGUGGCAUGCCAAACC